CGGAUUGUCUUGAAAGCAAUGAAGGUUUUGUCUGCCAUGGCGCCAAUGAAACCUCCCAAUACGGCACCAGUGUCUGCGCGUGUCACGGGGAUGUCUGGAAGUGCGUCUCAGCACCUCCACCAGGAACAUCACCCCCACCAACAACACUACCCCCGACAACACCACCGUGUGGUUGUCCGAAGGAUGGUGGGGGUUGUGCCGACGAGGAGGAGACGCGGGCUGAUGGUUGCGUUUGUAUAGAACAAAACUGGGAGUGUCCGUAAGGCAAACACGAUACAUGUGUCUGUAUAGAACACACCUGGGCGUGGUGUCUUUAAAGCAUGGACAGAGCAACAUUGGCGUCCUGUCUGGACUUAACUAUUGCUCCAAAGCUUGCCACAAUUUUAAUACAGUCAAUACCGAACGAAAUAAAUGAAAUACGUACAA